UUGUAAGGGAGAGAGAAAGACAGGGUUUUUAAACGUGAAAGUGACCAUGAAGUGGUAAGACUUCACGCAGAGACGGACGAACUUCAUGAAGGACUGUCUACAGCGCGAGACAAACCUACAACGCAUAGCGCGCUUACACACUCGCUGGUUUUCGCACAAGAGUAAUAGGAUUACCACACACUGCUCUGCCAAGGACAGAGACUGGAGGCGGAGACAGGAGGACAGGUUAAAGAUGGGGAGAGGGAAAUGAAGAGUACAAGUUGAAGAACAGAAUGCCAUGUUGCUGCACACCCAACCUGAAGCCCCUCGGGGGGAACAGACCUGUGAUAUUUGAGGAGAAACAGAGAGUGCAACGGAUCUGUAUCCAGUACAGCUGUCAUUUCAGAGGCGUGGAGCUAAUCAGAGGUCCGAUUUAGCAGCAUGACGGGCCUAAAGCGGGGUCACCAUAGGGCUGCUACUCGUUGCUGCUGAUAGUACACCAGCUGCUGAACUUCAUGAUCUGCAUUAACUGACAAGAUGUGGUGGUGUGUUCCAGAUAAAUGGCGGUAACCCAAAGCUCCUCGUUUCAAACUCUGAAAGGGAAGAUCCAUAAAGUAUCAGCGACAUGCCCUUGAAUCCUGCAGGUGUUAGGUUCUGCAGAGAUAAUUACACCAAAAGGCUAACCUGACAGACACCAUAGGGAGAAAAAGAGAGACGCAGAGGACAGGAGAAGAAAGGAACUGCUCAACUCAAGUGAGGAAAAAAAGGAACGAUGGAAAGGGUAAAAACAUGACAACGUACAUCAACCAGCAAAACAGACGCACACAUUCACGCACAUAUGCCAAAAUAACCGUCUAUCUGUCCGAUUUUAGAGUGUAAAAUACGUUCACGCUCACAUGAACAUAUGUACGCACAGACAAUGACGCACGCACGCGCUCUCAUUUACGCACUGAGUGAGCAGCGAACAUGAAAUCAGGGAGAAGAUGCAGGGGACAGAUUAACACCACUGACCUCCAAAAACGGAAACAAAAAUUCAUCACAGACAUACCAAGUCUUUUCUUUAAGAUCAUCAUCAUCAUCGUCACCAUGAAGAGUUUUCCCCAAAUAAUGAAUAAUUAAAAAUAUACAUUUCAUCAUUAUCUUCAUCGUAUGUUACUUUGGAUAGUUGAGGUUAUACCUUCAGAAACUGGGUUGCUAGGUGACCAGGAAAAGAGGCAAAAGAAACAGCUGAGGAUGUGUUAGUGGAGCUCUUUGGUUUAACUAGACGUGUUUAAAUUCUUUGCUAUUUUUAAAAAUCUUUUUAAACACCUUUGGACUGAAGCUGUUUUUUUUAAUUUUUUUUUUUUAUUGAAUAAUAUAUAUAGAGAGAGAGCAGGUAAAACAACAAGUAGAGAGUAAAAUAAGAACAAAAAGACUCAUAUUUGCAGUUCUCUUAGUCUAUUUCAAAUGCUAUGAUUUUUUUUCUUCUUUUCUCUGGAAUUUUCACCCAUAUCCGAUUGUUAAAGGGGUCAUAUGAUGUGGUUUCAAGUAUUCCUU